rnacentral:rRNA from 1 species
AUGGCAACCCUUCGAGUCGACGAAAUUCAUAAAAUUCUCCGCGAACGUAUUGAACAAUAUAAUAGGAAAGUAGGGAUUGAGAAUAUAGGUCGCGUAGUUCAAAUGGGGGAUGGGAUUGCUCGUAUUAUAGAUCUUGGUGAAAUAAUGUCAGGUGAAUUUGUCGAAUUUGCAGAAGCUACUAGGGGUAUUGCUCUGAAUUUGGAAUCCAAAAAUGUUGGGAUUGUAUUAAUGGGCGAUGGGUUGAUGAUACAAGAGGGAAGUUUUGUAAAAGCAACAGGAAGAAUUGCUCAGAUACCCGUGAGUGAGGCUUACUUGGGUCGUGUUGUAAAUGCUCUGGCUAAACCUAUUGAUGGGAAAGGCGAAAUUAUAGCUUCCGAAUCUCGCUUAAUUGAAUCUCCUGCUCCAAGUAUAAUUUCCAGGCGUUCCGUAUAUGAACCUCUUCAAACAGGGCUUAUUGCUAUCGAUUCGAUGAUCCCUAUAGGGCGCGGUCAGCGAGAGUUAAUUAUUGGGGACAGACAGACUUGCAAAACAGCAGUAGCCACAGAUACAAUUCUCAAUCAAAAAGGGCAAGGUGUAAUAUGUGUUUAUGUAGCUAUCGGUCAAAGAGCAUCCUCCGUAGCUCAAGUAGUAACUACUUUCCAUGAGGAGGGGGCCAUGGAAUACACUAUUGUAGUAGCUGAAAUGGCGGAUUCACCUGCUACAUUACAAUACCUCGCUCCUUAUACGGGAGCAGCCCUGGCUGAGUAUUUUAUGUACCGCGAACGGCAUACUUUAAUAAUUUAUGAUGAUCUCUCCAAACAGGCACAAGCUUAUCGCCAAAUGUCCCUUCUAUUAAGAAGACCUCCCAGACGUGAGGCUUAUCCAGGGGAUGUUUUUUAUUUGCAUUCACGCCUUUUAGAAAGAGCCGCUAAAUUAAAUUCUCUUUUAGGCGAAGGAAGUAUGACCUCUUUACCAAUAGUUGAGACUCAAUCUGGAGACGUUUCCGCCUAUAUUCCUACUAAUGUAAUCUCCAUUACAGAUGGACAAAUAUUCUUAUCUGCGGAUCUAUUCAAUGCCGGAAUUCGACCCGCUAUUAAUGUGGGUAUUUCUGUUUCCAGAGUAGGAUCCACGGCUCAAAUUAAAGCCAUGAAACAAGUAGCUGGCAAAUCAAAAUUGGAACUAGCGCAAUUCGCAGAGUUACAAGCCUUUGCACAAUUCACCUCUGCUCUCGAUAAAACAAGUCAGAAUCAAUUGGCAAGGGGUCGACGAUUAAGGGAAUUGCUUAAACAAUCCUAG